rnacentral:rRNA from 1 species
UACGUAGGUGGCGAGCGUUGUCAGGAUUUACUGGGCGUAAAGGGAGCGUAGGCGGACUUUUAAGUGAGAUGUGAAAUACCCGGGCUCAACUUGGGUGCUGCAUUUCAAACUGGAAGUCUAGAGUGCAGGAGAGGAGAAUGGAAUUCCUAGUGUAGCGGUGAAAUGCGUAGAGAUUAGGAAGAACACCAGUGGCGAAGGCGAUUCUCUGGACUGUAACUGACGCUGAGGCUCGAAAGCGUGGGGAGCAAACAGGAUUAGAUA